rnacentral:misc_RNA from 1 species
GAUGAAGAACGUAGCGAAAUGCGAUAAGUAAUGUGAAUUGCAGAAUCCAGUGAAUCAUCGAAUCUUUGAACGCACAUUGCGCCCGUCAGCAUUCUGGCGGGCAUGCCUGUUCGAGCGUCGUUUCAACCCUCGACCUCCCCUUGGGGAGGUCGGCGUUGGGGACCGGCAGCACACCGCCGGCCCUGAAAUGGAGUGGCGGCCCGUCUGCGGCGACCUCUGCGUAGUAAUACAGCUCGCACCGGAACCCCGACGCGGCCACGCCGUAAAACACCCAACUUCUGAACGUUGACCUCGAAUCAGGUAGGACUACCCGCUGAACUUAAGCAUAUCAAUAAGCGGAGGA